UUUCCCUCUUUCUUUCGGCCUCCCCCCUGCCAGUCGAACGGCAGCACAGUAAGAGCUUGCUCUUACGGGUGGCGAGUGGCGGACGGGUGAGGAAUACAUCGGAAUCUACUUUUUCGUGGGGGAUAACGUAGGGAAACUUACGCUAAUACCGCAUACGACCUACGGGUGAAAGCAGGGGAUCUUCGGACCUUGCGCGAUUGAAUGAGCCGAUGUCGGAUUAGCUAGUUGGCGGGGUAAAGGCCCACCAAGGCGACGAUCCGUAGCUGGUCUGAGAGGAUGAUCAGCCACACUGGAACUGAGACACGGUCCAGACUCCUACGGGAGGCAGCAGUGGGGAAUAUUGGACAAUGGGCGCAAGCCUGAUCCAGCCAUACCGCGUGGGUGAAGAAGGCCUUCGGGUUGUAAAGCCCUUUGGUUGGGAAAGAAAAGCAGCAGGUUAAUACCCCGCUGUUCUGACGGUACCCAAAGAAUAAGCACCGGCUAACUUCGUG
rnacentral:rRNA from 1 species